rnacentral:rRNA from 1 species
GACGAACGCUGGCGGCGUGCUUAACACAUGCAAGUCGAACGGAAAGGCCCUGCUUGCAGGGUACUCGAGUGGCGAACGGGUGAGUAACACGUGGGUGAUCUGCCCUGCACUUCGGGAUAAGCCUGGGAAACUGGGUCUAAUACCGGAUAGGAGCCAUUUUUAGUGUGAUGGUUGGAAAGUUUUUUCGGUGUAGGAUGAGCUCGCGGCCUAUCAGCUUGUUGGUGGGGUAAUGGCCUACCAAGGCGGCGACGGGUAGCCGGCCUGAGAGGGUGGACGGCCACAUUGGGACUGAGAUACGGCCCAGACUCCUACGGGAGGCAGCAGUGGGGAAUAUUGCACAAUGGGAGCAAGCCUGAUGCAGCGACGCCGCGUGGGGGAUGACGGCCUUCGGGUUGUAAACUCCUUUCGCUAGGGACGAAGCUUUUGUGACGGUACCUAGAUAAGAAGCACCGGCUAACUACGUG